CUAAAACUAAUUUUUAGUUUAACUCCAAAACCAUUAAAUCUUUUUUUUUGCCAAUCUAAAACUAUUCUAAAGUUACAUAUUUAAUUUCAAAAAUAUUGGAAACUUUUUUCCACCAAAAAGUUUAUAUGAUCAGAAGUCACCAAUUGUCAGUGGAGGAAAUUGUGGUCCCGAGAAAGGUCAUCAGCUCAGUCCCCCACUGAUGGCUUUGGCUGGGGUCACUUUGAACUCGGGAACCAAUAGCAUCUGCAGAACCAGAUUUCAACCACCUUUCAGACCCCAUUUGUAUGACAGAUUCAGGGAAGUUCGGGGCUUCCUGCCCUGGUGUCUCUUCCCGAAGCAGGUAGUUCUCAGGGGAAUGUGUCUGACACAUUCAUAGGCAGCUGGUGUUCCUCAGCCUAAGACUCUGAAGGCUGUGAUCGGAAAGUUCCAUGUCAGGGAAACAUGCCCAACACAGACCCCUCAUGCAAUAAGGUAGCACAGAGCUGGCCCCAGGCUCCUGUCCCUGCACGCCCCUCCCGUGCUUCCUGGCUUCUCCCACACUCCUCUCUGUUCCAGAAUUCGGGUCUGUGACGCCCACUUCCCUCGGGCUUGGGACCUGGGCCUGGACACUCUUCUCUUUCCCAAGCAACAUUGGCCUCCGAGGCUUUGAACACCAUCUCUGGUUGUAGUAUGUUUCUGAUCCAGGCUGAGAGAAGAGAUUCUGAGAUGCCACCUGUCCCUUGACAGCAGCACGCUUGACGACCCCCUUGGGCUUACUGGAUUCGGGAGGCUGCACCAGGCUGGUGUGCUGAGGGACAGGUAAAGGCAUCCUGAGGAUUUCUCCCAGAGCCGGGGGCAUCAAUUUCCCCCACAACAUAUCCACCUGGGCCUGCUUCUCCCAGCCCGCUGAGGAACGCUGGUAGUAAAACAGCAGAACAGACGGCUGCUUUAUGGGCCAGAAGAAAGUGAUUUCCCACCUGGGGCCAGUAAAGAAUCCAAGGCUCCAUUCUGUCCUUUCCCUCCGAGAAGGUUUUUCCUCCUGUCUCAAGUGAUCUCAUGGGGCCAUUAGCUUAGACACAGCAGCAGAAAUGCCAGGGACAGGUGGGCUAUCUUAAAAGGAUGCUCUCUCAUCCCAUCCACAAAGGAGGUAGGCCCAGAGCCGUCGCCCGCAUCCCCCAGACCCAAUCAAGCCCAGCUUUCUUUCGGUGCCACUCGCCCAGCCCCAGCUAUCUCUCCAGGACCUGUGAUUCCGCAGAGAGUAGUUCCUAAGAACUGCUCCCGCUUGGUAUCCUCUUAAGAGUGAAAUGGCCAAAUUAAAAAGCUCAGACAAAACUGGUGUUAUGAAAAUGUGGAGUAACUGGAGAACCUGCCCCCUGCUGGUGGCAGCGGGUCUCAGAUGGUGCAGGCUGCUCUAACAAUUUGCCAGAGACGGGACAGCUUAAAAGACAACAUGUAUCUCGCAGUUCCAGAGGCUGGGGAGCUCAAGAUGCAGGUGACAGCAGACUUGGUGUCUGAUGAGAAUGCUCUUCUGGAUGCCAGAUGGCCAUCGUAUCCUCCCAGGGUGGAGAGCCGAGAGGGAGGAAGUGACCUCGAGGUGUCUCUGCUUAUAAGGCCACUAAUCCCAUUAUGAAGACUCUACCCUUGAGACCUGAUCUCCGGAUGUCAUCACAUUGGGGUUUAGGGUUCCAACAGGUGAGUUGGGGAGUGCAUUCAGUCCACAGCAAAGUGCAAAUAGGUACAGCCCCUGGAAGACCAUUUAGAAGUUGAAGUUGAACACGCAUGUGCCCCGGGACCCAGCAACCCCGCUCCUUAGCACAGCCUCAACAGAAAUGCCUACAUUUGUUCAUCGAAGGACAUGUGCCGCCUGUUCCUAACACACUUUUCGUGGCAGCCCCAGGUUGGAAACAAGCCCCGAUCCCCAGUAGUGAGCAAACUAUAAGGUGCACACAUGGGACUGGAACACCAACGGGCAUCAAUGAGCCGCAACCCCCUGCAGCCCCCUGGACGGUCUCACCAACAGAAGGCUGAGCGAAAGAAGCCAGCCACCGGGAGGGACGCUGCUGUGUGAGUCCCCAAGGCCAACUCAUAACCACACAAAGACAAGUCAUGGAAGCCAAAGUCAGGAGAGCGGUCGGGCCUGGGGAUGAGUGGAACAGUCGUGAGGAAAGGACAGAAGGGGCUCUGGGACUGUGGCGACCCUCCGUUCCUCCAUCUGUGCACCAGCUACGACGGGGAGCUCACUUAUAGUUCUUUUGCUUAUUUAGGAUCACAAUAAACAAAAGUCUAAUUUUCAGAUUUAUUCUUCCAAAUAUACCAGUCGCUCAGCUGCUGAGGCUGGCCUCAAACUUGUGAUCCUCCCUACCUCACCCCACCUCAACCAUCAUUUGGACUUUGUAAGAGCAGAAAUAAACCUCUGUCAUAUUUAGCCACUGAGAUUUGGGGAUUAAUCUAUUACAGGGCUAAUGUUGGCUUUAACUGAUACAGAAGGUAGGUAGCGGUGGCAAGGUAUGAGCCUGCUGAAAGACUGAAAUGUAAUAAGGUAUGUAAAUUGCUACAUCUGUAGAAGAUGCUCAAUAAAUGGGAGCUAUUAUUAUUU
rnacentral:lncRNA from 1 species